GGAUUACGUGGGUAGUAUGCCUAAUACAUGCAAGUCGAGCGGAAAAUGGUAGCAAUACUAUUUUUAGCGGCGAACGGGUGAGUAAUGCUUAUCUUACCUACCAUUUAGUGGGGGAUAACUACGGGAAACUGUGGCUAAUACCGCAUAUUAUGAGCAAUCAUGAAAGUUCCUUUAUUGGUUCGCUAAUUGAUGGGGAUAAGUCGUAUUAGCUAGUUGGUGAGGUAAUGGCUUACCAAGGCAAUGAUGCGUAGCCAUUCUGAGAGGAUAAAUGGCCACAAGGGAACUGAGACACGGUCCCUACUCCUACGGGAGGCAGCAGUAAGGAAUUUUCCACAAUGGGCGCAAGCCUGAUGGAGCAAUACUACGUGAAGGAAGAAGGUCUACGGAUUGUAAACUUCUGUUAGAGUAGAAGAAAAACCUAGGUGAAAGCCUAGACUUGACAGUAUACUCAGAGAAAGUCACGACUAACUAUGUGCCAUCAGUCGCGGUAAGACAUAGGUGGCGAACGUUAUCCGGAAUUAUUGGGCGUAAAGGGUGCGUAGAUGGUUUUAAAAGUUACUAGUAGAAAACUAAGGCCCAACCUUAGGAAAGCUAGUAAUACUAUAAGGCUAGAGUGCAGGAGAAGUUAACGGAAUUCCUUGUGGAGCGGUGAAAUGCUUAGAUAUAAGGAAGAACAUCAAAUGGCGAAGGCAGUUAACUAUUCUGUUUCUGACAUUGAGGCACGAAAGCGUGGGGAGCAAAACGGAUUAGAUACCCGUGUAGUCCACGCCCUAAACGAUGAGUAUUAGAUGUUGGAAUUUGUAUUUCAGUGUCGUAGCUAACGCGUUAAAUACUCCGCCUGGGUAGUACGCUCGCAAGAGUGAAACUCAAAGGAAUUGACGGGGACCCGCACAAGCGGUGGAACAUGUGGUUUAAUUCGAUGCAACGCGCAGAACCUUACCAAGGCUUGACAUGGAGGGCAAAGUUGGAGAAAUUCAACAGAGGUUAUCCCGACACAGGUGGUGCAUGGCCGUCGUCAGUUCGUGCCGUGAGGUGUAUGGUUAAGUCCUAUAACGAACGCAACCCUUGUGCUUAGUUGCUAACAUUAAGUUGAGAACCCUAAGCAGACUGCCAAGGCAACUUGGAGGAAGGAGAGGACGACGUCUGGUCGUCAUGCCCCUUAUGCCUUGGGCUACACACGUGUUACAAUGGUUAGGACAAAGAGCUGCUAACCCGCGAGGGCAAGCUAAUCUCAAAAAACUAACCUCAGUUCGGAUUGAAGUUUGCAACUCAACUUCAUGAAGUUGGAUCGCUAGUAAUCGCAGAUCAGCAACGCUGUGGUGAUACGUUCUCG
rnacentral:rRNA from 1 species